CGAAGGAGGCCCACUCCAAAUGAAUGGGAGAAGCCCAACAGUCACCCUAGCCGCAUGGCUGUUGGGUGACGGAACAAAAUCAAUGAAGACCCUUACUGUUAGUGGUCGGUGCAAUCAAUGGAGGGCAGGUGAAAUGAAAGGCUUUCAACCACUUUAAACAUGCGAUGCAUUUUCCAACAAUGGGUUUUCAAUUACAUUUAAGGUUAAUUAACAGUAACGUUUUAAAAACCAGAAAUCGCCUCCUUCCCUCAAGUAGAAACGGAUGGUCCCAAGGAGAGUCAGGGAAGAGAUUUGAACGUGAGACAAAAAAACACGAGUAAAACAAGUCCAACAACAUACAUAGUGAGGGCGAUGAUGAAGUAAAAAUUCACAAGAAGGUAAAACCAAAGCCGGAAUAGAACCUAUGCUUACCUCUUUCACGAAGAGAUCAACCGGCGGAUGUUGGAACGUUCUUCUUCAAAAGGCUCCCUCUCCCGUCGUUUCGAAUUUGGCUGCCUGCUCGUUUGCUGGCUCUAACUUCAGUAUCAGCUUGGUCCAAACGGCGUCAAGGGUUUUGAGAUCAAAAGAGGUCUCUGCCAAAUCCCUUUUGAUGUGCUCAGUCAGGAUUGGCCUUACUUGAUGCUAAAUCAGAACCGUAAAAACGACGAAGACAUGAGGAGAUUUGGUUUUCACCUUGUCCCAUUCCAAAACCUGUUAUUUCUUGAGCCAACUAAAUUAGAGGCAGGAGCAAUGAUCUUGUAUUGCUGUUAAUUUCUGAUCAGUCAAUUGGACUUGAUUUUGGAGGUGGAAGUGGCCAUGAGCCUGCUCACGCUGGAUUUGUGGGGCAAGGAAUGCUGACUGCAGCCAUAUGUGGCGAUGUCUUUGCUAGUCCAACUGUUGAUGCUAUUCUUGUUGUAUGCUUCUUAUUAUUGGAAGAGAUAUGCAUUGUACUUCUAGUUAUUAUUGAACAAACCAAACUCUUUAAUGAUUCUAAUGCACCUGUUAUUAUUCAAAUUUAGGGGAUACGAACUGUAACUGGUCCAAAUUCAGAAUCUAAUUUUAGCUUUGCAUGUUUUCUAGACUUUCGCGAUCCAACAACAUUUUCCUUAGGUGCUUCAUCCUUCUCGGUUGGCUCUGUCAUGGAAGCAGAAGAACUUAUGAUAUUUGUGGCAACACUUUACUCAACUGAGUUGUAGCAGUACUCUUUACUGUUUUGAUCUUUCUUGACUACCCUCGUGACACGGUUCAGAUUUAAUGAUUGCAAAAGCUCUUGCCAAGGCCGAGGAUGAGGUUGACGGGGUGCGAGGUCUUACUCUAACUGCAGAUGGACAGGGUGCUGUUUUUUUUGAUGUACCAGUCAAGGACUUGGAUGCAUUUCUUGCCGGUCAAAAGAAUGCUGUCAAUGUAAGCCUAAAGGUUGUAACAGAAUUGCCUAGUUUACAACAAAGUUUUGAAACCAUAAGCGAUUGGUUUCGCCGCUGAUGCAGCAGAAGUAGCCAAGAUUGUGGAGAAAGAAGCAAACUUUUGGUGAAGUGGAUUGAAUUGGAGCUGUAGGUGAAAUGGGUUGGAGAAGAACGUAGUAAGAAACUCUUUGGUAGUGGUGAUUUCAAUUGCAACUUCAAAUCCAUUGAAACUUUGUGUGAAUUUGCGAUUGAAUUAUGAAGAAAUCUAUGUUAAUUAACAACUUCCAUUUUUAAUUCCUUUUAUCUAUAAUUCUUCAUAUAGAAUCCCAAACCUUCUAUGCUCUAUGCUUGUUUCAUGUUU